CCAAGUUUUUUAAUUAUGGAGUUCCUGCCUGUCUUGCAGGCGAUCUUUGGUCACCGUGUAAUGGUUUUGGGGUACAUGUGAAGAACAUGCAAGAUUGUUGCAUAGCAGUACAUUUGUCAACUUAUCGGCAUCUUCAUUGUUUUGGAUCCUUGAGGGGCACUGAACUGCUGUGAAGGGAGUGAGUGCUGCAGUACACAUGCUAAUUCAACUUUGUCCUGUUAUUGGACAGUGGAGUGAUUUCCUUUUUUUCCUAUUGUAAAUGAUGCUGUGAUGAGACAUAGGUGAAUAAAACCUUAUCUGCAUUUCA
rnacentral:lncRNA from 13 species